CUGCAUCCAAUUAAACUGCCUAAGUUCCUUUUCUUCUGGAGCCUGGUGUGCAGUGGCAGCAAACAGCAUCCUACUUGGGAGCUGCUUGUAUGUGUUUCUCUAAGGGAACUUAGAGAUAGAA
rnacentral:snoRNA from 1 species